CAGCAUGAACUUAGCUUGCUAAGUUUGAUGGCGACCGGCGCACGGGUGAGUAACACGUAUCCAACCUGCCGAUGACUCGGGGAUAGCCUUUCGAAAGAAAGAUUAAUAUCCGAUAGCAUAUAUUUCCCGCAUGGGUUUUAUAUUAAAGAAAUUCGGUAUGAGAUGGGGAUGCGUUCCAUUAGCCAGUUGGCGGGGUAACGGCCCACCAAGGCGACGAUCGGUAGCCGGACUGAGAGGUUGAACGGCCACAUUGGGACUGAGACACGGCCCAGACUCC
rnacentral:rRNA from 1 species